GUACUCCGGUCCAUCGUGAAUCGGGUGGUCCACGGCUGGGCUUGUGGAUCGCGUGGGCGUUUCUCACGCGUUUCACGUGGUCCACGGCACUAUUUCGUGGACCAAAGCGCGAUCGGACUGCGUGGGUGAUUUUCGGUGAUGAUCCAACGGAUUGGGGUCUUAAUUGGAUUUUUUGAUUAGGACUCUUAAACCUAAUCUAAUUGAGUUUUAGCCCUAUAAAAGGGCAGGUGAUUUAGUUUUUUUGCUGAGGACGUCGUGCGGAACCUGAGAAGAAAAAGAGAGAGACGUGAGGUCGCUGAGAGAGAAGGAGCAGGGCUCUUAGAUAGCAGAUGUCGGGUAUUUCAGGGAUUCAGGAGAUCUUCCAAGAGAAAGAGCUUUUGUGAGGAAAAUUUCAGAUGAUAGAGAAAUUGAGUGUACGAUGGUUGAAGGUGAGAUAUCCUCUUGUAAAAUUUUUUUUUUAUAGUAAAGUUUGCAUGUUCCGUAGAGACGAGUCUUUUUAUGGUUGAUUCACGUAUUUUGAUUAUUUUUAUUUUAUUUUUUUUUAUUACUAUAUGGUGUGGUAUUGAAAAGAUCUUGAGAGAUGAUAUUCUGAUCAAAUAUUUAUUUAAUAAAUAAUUUAUUUAAAUAAUUAAUUUUCAAAUAAUGCGACUGAACAUACUUGAUGUACAAGAUAUUUUUUAUGCAUUUGCUUGCAUUGGAAUAAUAUAAUGAGAUGGCGCAUUCAAGGAAAAUAGGAUAACCAUUUAGUGAAAGUAGAGCC
rnacentral:lncRNA from 1 species